GUCUGUGGAGAAGAACGAAGGCAAUGCCACAGCAGAACUGUCAACAAAAUACCCGUAUUGGUUUACGAGUCUCGCGGUGAAUUAGCCAGGGACAAACAUGGCUCGCGUUCCGGCAGACGUGUGUUUUUCUUCGUGGUGAACCUACGGCCACCUCUUUCUCGCUUCUUCGCCGAGUUCCCUGUCUCUGUUUCAUCGAGCAGGGAUCCUCAACUACGGGAGUGGUGAUAUUCACGCAAGUACGUACAACGCGUAUACACACCCAGUUGUAACGCGCGUACUCACACGCGCGGCUUGAUGUAUAUUAAUAUACUUACACCGCUAGGUAAGGGAAGAGAGAAGCUUCCCUCUCGUUAGUAUGCAAGUGCCGUUUCGGUGCCCCUUACGUGGCCUUAUUUGCACUCGUGUACGAUCGGCGCGCAAAACCAAUCAAAAUGAUCGUUCUCCCUUUCGCAUGAUUUUUUUUCUUCUCCUUAGCGUGUAUAUUACUUACGUAAAUAUGCCCAAUAUCCAACCCAAAUUUUCAAUCUUUUCUCGUUCUUGCAAUUAGUAAAAUUGCAAAAAUUGCGUACGGAUCGCGUAUUAGGCGCGCGAAACGAGUCGAAAUGUACGUUCUCUUACCUACGUCGUACGUUGUGCCUGACUCGUGCGAGCACGCUUAUUAGCGAAAUAUGCUACAAAUACGUUCUUAUUGUUAAUUCAUUGUUGAUAGAACAUAAACGCGCGUUCCCCCUCUCUCUUUUCUUUACGUGUUUCUCUGUUUCUUGUCGUCUGGUCGUCGCGAACGUGCGUGUGCGGGUAACGGUGCAGUAAAUGGCGGAGAGGAUGUAAAAGGGCUUUCCUAGUCUCUAUGAUGCGCCAGCAGUGAAUUAUUCGCGUUGUCGUACCUCUGACAUAAUCGUCGUUGUUUGCCCUCGCGCGGGUCAUUUCAGAGGAACGUGGAAAGAGGAAGAAUGGUUCAAUCGAGAGGGAAGUGAGAAUCCUGCCGUCAUCCUGGCGCGUGGCAAACCAGGCCAGAGGCCUGGAUCCUCGUCCUCCUCGUCCUCGUCCACGGAGAGGCUGCAAAGGAUGCCAGGACCGGCACAAGAAAGGCCUCGCGCUCAAAGGCUUACCGACAUCGAGCCUCAAACUGCAAAGGUGAGUAAAUCACGAUACUACGAUCAACGUACAGCGUUGGGAGGGAGGUGUGUCCCAUU